AUUGAACGCUGGCGGCAUGCCUUACACAUGCAAGUCGAACGGCAGCACGGGAGCAAUCCUGGUGGCGAGUGGCGAACGGGUGAGUAAUAUAUCGGAACGUGCCCAGGCGUGGGGGAUAACGUAGCGAAAGCUACGCUAAUACCGCAUACGAUCAAUGGAUGAAAGCGGGGGAUCGCAAGACCUCGCGCGAUUGCAGCGGCCGAUAUCAGAUUAGGUAGUUGGUGGAGUAAAGGCUCACCAAGCCGACGAUCUGUAGCUGGUCUGAGAGGACGACCAGCCACACUGGGACUGAGACACGGCCCAGACUCCUACGGGAGGCAGCAGUGGGGAAUUUUGGACAAUGGGCGCAAGCCUGAUCCAGCAAUGCCGCGUGCAGGAUGAAGGCCUUCGGGUUGUAAACUGCUUUUGUACGGAACGAAACGGCGAGCUCUAAUACAGUUUGCUAAUGACGGUACCGUAAGAAUAAGCACCGGCCAACUACGUGCCAGCCGCCGCGGUAA
rnacentral:rRNA from 1 species